GGGGAAUAUUGGACAAUGGGCGCAAGCCUGAUCCAGCCAUGUCGCGUGGGUGAAGAAGGCCUUCGGGUUGUAAAGCCCUUUUGUUGGGAAAGAAAAGCAGCCGGCCAAUACCCGGUUGUUCUGACGGUACCCAAAGAAUAAGCACCGGCUAACUUCGUGCCAGCAGCCGCGGUAAUACGAAGGGUGCAAGCGUUACUCGGAAUUACUGGGCGUAAAGCGUGCGUAGGUGGUGGUUUAAGUCCGUUGUGAAAGGCUACGGCUCAACCGUAGUAAGCAUUUGAAACUGCAGGGCUUGAGUGCAGGAGAGGAGAGUGGAAUUCCUAGUGUAGCGGUGAAAUGCGUAGAUAUUAGGAGGAACACCAGUGGCGAAGGCGACUCUCUGGACUGUAACUGACGCUGAGGCACGAAAGCGUGGGGAGCAAACA
rnacentral:rRNA from 1 species